AUUGAACGCUGGCGGCAGGCCUAACACAUGCAAGUCGAGCGAGCGGCGGACGGGUGAGUAAUGUAUGGGGACUGCCCGAUAGCGGGGGAUAACUACGGGAAAUGGUGGCUACUACCGCAUACUAUCGGAUAACCCAUACGGGAUUAGCUAGGAGGUGGGGUAAAGGCUCACCAGGGCGACGAUCUCUAGCUGGUCUGAGAGGAUGAUCAGCAACACUGUGACUGGUACAGGACCCAUACUCCUGCGGAGGCAGCAGUAGGGAGUAUUGCACGAUGGGCGCAAGCCUGCUGCAGCCGUGCCGCGUGUAUGAAGAAGGCUUUAGGGUGGUAAAGUACUUGCAGCGGGGAGGCGUUGCCCGCAGAGGAAGGACCGGCUAACUCCGUGCCAGCAGCCGCGGUAAUAC
rnacentral:rRNA from 1 species